CUCCCAAGGAGGAAGGAUCUCUAUCUGGAGAUCACUUCCCUCGGAGCUCUUCUGUGAGCUCAGGACACAGAUUUGAUGCCAGCAUCUGCCACUGUUUAUUUUCUGUGAAGACAGAGGUACUGGAACAGUUCAGACAUCCCCUUAUCGUGGUCAGAAAGCACAGGGAGAACACAGCCUCUAAAAUGAGUCCUCAAACACAAAACUGCCUAUUGCCACAAGUGGAGCAUCUAGCAAUGACAAAAGCUUCUAAAAAUAAAUGUUGAUAAGAUCACUUGCAAGAAAACGUACUGUUCUUGGCUUCCCUGUGAGAUAAAUGUUGGAACCUUUUAAUCUGAACUUUAGAAAUCAAUAGGUAUUUUUGAAGAAAAAGCACAGCCUUCACUAGUGCGACAACCAUGUUUCUGUAUUGGUAUUUUCUCCCUUCCCAUUUCUUGCCUAAAGCAGAAGGCUGUGAUGGUGUUUUUCUGUUAAACCCUGAGCAGAAUUAUGCUGAUUUUUUUGUGUAUUUAUAAUUCUUUUGCUCUGUACUGUGCUCUUAAACUUCUGUUCCAGAUUAAGCUGAGACUGUGGAAGCCACCCAGUUGGUAAUGACAUUCUUAUUUAACAAACAGUGAUAAUCGGAAUAAUUUCUUUACCUCUACCAAGCUUUCUUGGGAUACAAUGCUUUAACUUAAGCAGACCAGUCCACUGUAAUUAUAUUGUUGUAACUGAAGUAGAAAAACUGAAGUUAAGUACCUAAGCACUUAGAGCUAAUUGGAAAUUUGCUUCUGAUUCUAUUGGAAACAAUUUUACUUGACUUGAGUUUUCCAAUUGGAAGUUAUGGCAGCUGCAGUUAAUUGCAGCCCUUGGGUUGAUACACAGAGGGGCUCCAGGAUGUGGAGGCAGAAACUGGUAAGAAUUGCUGGGUUUCCAUAUGCAUCUGUACAGAAAAGUGGACUGUGCGUUUGGGUGCUAUUGAUAUACAAAUAGUAUUCAACGUUAAGAUUUAAAAAAAGAAAAAGCAUUCCCUGACUCCUAGUGCUAUUAACACUAGGUUUUGGGCAAAAGAUACACUUACUGAUGAGGAAAAAAAUAUAUCUUGUUGGGUGACUUGCCAGAGGAAGGUUUAUAAUCCUUUGUUAAAAGUAUUUGUACCAUGUCUUGUAUCAGGCUUGUUUAGAAUCGUUCAUUUCUGGGACAAGGUUGUCCCGUGUCAGAUUGAAAUGGCAUGCUGUGACUAGCUCUCUUGUUCUAAAAUGUGCUAGGAUCGUACGAAAGCAGUUCCUCAGUUUUCACUCUUUCUUAGCCUUCCUCUUGCUCUUGCAGGAUAUCUUUAUGGCUUGAUGUCUACCAAAAGUGCUUCUCAAAUGUACAGUAAUCAGUUUUUAUGCUUAACAGACAACUGCUUUGCUAGAACCAACCAACACCAGGCUUCUCCCUUCUCUUUCUUGGACAACUUGUAACCUUACGUGGAAAUUCAGCCUGAAAUUCAACUGAUUUGAAAGCUUUGUUAUUGAAUUAAAAUGACCAUGAAUGCCAAUUUCUGCGGCUACAAGCUAAUUUGGUUUUGUAGUGGAAAUAUUGACAUCUUAAUGUAUUUCCCAUAUCUCCUAACAAAAGGACAGCAGACAUCUGUCUGACUCAACAUAGAUCAGAGUAAAGUUGAUAUAUAAUUUAUUGUAAGUGUAUGCAUUGUUCGGGUAUGUUACUGACAGUGUGAUGCCUCAGGGUUAGUAUAGUUACUAAGACCAAGGGCAAAUCUUUCACCUGUGUAAGCAAUACCAUCGGGUUCUUGACUACUUUGUUAGAAAGAC
ensembl:lncRNA